GAUGAACGCUGGCGGCGUGCCUAAUACAUGCAAGUAGAACGCUGAAGGAAGGAGCUUGCUCUUUCCGGAUGAGUUGCGAACGGGUGAGUAACGCGUAGGUAACCUGCCUGGUAGCGGGGGAUAACUAUUGGAAACGAUAGCUAAUACCGCAUAACAGUAGAUGUUGCAUGAUAUCUACUUAAAAGGUGCAAUUGCACCACUACCAGAUGGACCUGCGUUGUAUUAGCUAGUUGGUGAGGUAACGGCUCACCAAGGCGACGAUACAUAGCCGACCUGAGAGGGUGAUCGGCCACACUGGGACUGAGACACGGCCCAGACUCCUACGGGAGGCAGCAGUAGGGAAUCUUCGGCAAAGGACGGAAGUCUGACCGAGCAACGCCGCGUGAGUGAAGAAGGUUUUCGGAUCGUAAAGCUCUGUUGUAAGAGAAGAACGAGUGUGAGAGUGGAAAGUUCACACUGUGACGGUAUCCUACCAGAAAGGGACGGCUAACUACGU
rnacentral:rRNA from 1 species